rnacentral:sRNA from 1 species
UAUUCUGCCCCACGGGGAAGGAUGAGAAGCUUCGACCAAGGUUCGACUCGAGCGAAGCGAG